rnacentral:lncRNA from 1 species
CUUAUUUGGAAGAUUAUUUUUAGCUAUAAGUUUAGACUAAAGAAGUAACUUAGACAAAGAGUAGCUCAGGCCUCCCUUGGUCGUGGGAAGGAACUUCUGACUAUUCCUGCUGAUGAUUUUUUUUUCCCUAUUCAGAAUAACCUAGCUGUUUCCUUACCAUCUUAAAUAUUUAUUUGUGAACAUUCAAAACUGAUGUUCCACGUGGUUUCGGGUGAGCUAAAAGGAGCCAUACAUUCUGGAUGAAAAAGAGUUCCGUUCUGCACAGCCUGCAAUAUUCCUUUCUUGCUGCAAUAGCGUAAUAGGGAAGGUGAGACUUGAGAACAGUAUGUAAAUCACAUACUGUCUAGUACGUAAUUCCUAAACUGGAUUUGCUCAUUGCCUGGAAUCCUUGAGUCUCACUUCUAGUAUCCCAUUAGCCCCACCUGCUUAACUGUCCAGAUUUUAUAAAGGCAAUGUGAAAGGGUGAGAACAACUACCAGUAUAAUACAGAGUAUUUUAGCGUGAGCUCUUAGUUCAGAUUCCAUCCUUCCAUGUUUUUUUAACCUUUGUACGUUUUUGUAACUGAUGUCAUUCAUGGUGUUGAUUAAUGAAAUGGUUCAUCAGCCCUGCAGAGCUGUGACUGGGAAAACGUGCAUCAAGAGCUUUAGCUUUUACCAGUAAGGUUCAUUAACUAAACUCUCAGGAAUUAACUGCGUAUGUUCUACAAGUGCUUCUGGGUCUUCGCAGGUCCCCUUUCAGAGCAGUACAAUGAUCAUCUGACUCUUGACUGUAAAUUAGGGCUUAAAAGAGAAACUAAUUGAAAUGAUUAACAUCUGUGUUCCUACAGCCUAAGAAAUGCUUUAAGGAUAUGAACCCACAGAGCCCCAGGAGACCAUUUUUGUAUAUUGUUGUUUAAGCUUAAAAGAACAAGUGCAUAGAAAGUUGAAAACCAGCAAUUUGAUUAUUUUCUAAAAUAUUGCUCUAAUUUUGGGUACAUAGUAUUGGUGAUAUGCACAGGUUUACCUCAUUCUAUGCAAGAGGGGUUAAUUAUGUAAAGUUUUGUAUUUACUACUGGAAGUAAAACUGUCCUGUAUAGCGUAGGAAUGUCUGGAAUUCUUUUCUCCCUUACUGGUAACAUUUCUUAAAUAAUGACCCCUUUUUACCAACAGCUUCUUAUAUUGACAGAAUCUGGUUAUCCGGUGAUAAGUAUCUGUAACUUCAGAUGGUAAAAGCAUUUUAGCGCUCUAAAAUAGCCAUAAAAAGGACUUUGUCCGGCUUGGUAGACUUCAAAUACAUUCUCUCAGCUUCUGACCCAUCCACAGCUUUUCUUUUGAACAGCCUGGAUUGGAAGAGUAGGAUUAGAGACCAUUGCAAUGACACUUUGAGCCUUGACUAACUUUUUUUCCCCCCUGUGUUCUCAAUUUUAACCUACUUUACAAUCCAGCUCUGCAAGCAUUGAUUUGGUUUGGUAAGUACAUCACUAUUGAUCUUUAUUGUUUUUAAUGCAGCAACUUGCAGAUUGUCCCAGUCAGCUGGACCAAGGUUGGCGCAAUCUUGCUUUCUUCUCUCAUCUUCUGGCUUCAGUAGAAAAACUGUUGCAUUCAUUUGUGUUUUAUUAUGUGGAAGCUCAGGCUGCUAAUAAGGUAUAUUGCCAAGUCUCUAAACCUUGGGCUUCUGUGUAUUGCCCAGGCUGGUACCUGACUUCUAAGUUACAGUCUUCAAGUGUCAAGAGGGAAAACUAGUGCUUACAUUGAACACACUUCCUGUGAUGGAGAAAUGUAAGAGUCAGAUUUGAAGUCUCUCAGUCUUUAUAAUGUUCUUGAAAAAUAGGUAUUUUAUUCACUAAACACUAAAGGAUGUGAGUUGAUGCAAUUUUGGAUACAUGUGUAGCUUCAGUGUGAGUUGAGUGAAAUCUCUCUUGUGUUUCUGAAUUCCAAAUGUACCUUAAUUGUCAAGUACAGAGGAAAUCUGUCCGAAGCAAACCAUGUAAGGAACCAAUUGAAGUCACUUAGGAGAAGAUUAAGGAGAACCCAAGCAAAAUUAUGCUGGGUAUUUAGAGUGGUCUCUUCAAGGAGCGGGCUGCCGGCUGUGGUACCCAUAGAGUAGGCUUCACUGUAGUUAGUAACAUGGCUCUUGGUGUUUUUAUCUUCACUUUAAGCCAUGUCACUUGGCUAGAAGAGCAGCGAAGUGUUGGACAUCUGAAAUCUUCAAUGGGGUCAAACUAAUUUCAGGAUUUGGCAUAGCUGGUCUUCAUACCCGUACGGUAGCGCGAGUUGUACCUUACUUUGCGGCUACCCUUCUCUUACUGCUCAGAAUCCUUCUGCUGAUCUUUGGGGUUUAUGUUAUUUUAAAUACAGGUCUUUUAACCUUUUCCUUGCUGCAUCUGAGGAAAGCUAAAGCAGUUACCGAUUCCUUGUUCUACGGAUACUAACACGGGUUUCAGUGUUUGUUUGGUUUUUUUUAUUGUUGUUUUUAUGUGAUGUGAAUACCCUCUCCCGUCAAUAUUUGUACGAUGGUGCUAAUAUAUUUGGUAACAAUCCUUUAUUGGGAAGGGAUUUUAAAAAAACUGUGAUUUAAACUGAAUUUUUCUUCCUUUUACUUUUCAUAUUUAAAACAAAAAGCCACAGCCAUUUAUACCAGAAAAAGGCAUCAGCUUUGGCCCCUGGGAAAACGUUGGGGGCGGGAAUCAAGAUUAAAUGGGGUUUUUACAUCAUUUCUGUAUGUAUUUGAUAUAUAGAUCAAUAUCUGUACAAAUUUAAUCUUUUAUUUUCUUGGUAAUUUGUGUGGUCAAUGAGAGAGUAUUUAAAGCUUUCUCAUGCGAUGUACAUAACUAAGUGAAAAAAAAUGCUUUUGGAGAAAUUAAUGUUCCUUUCAUUUUUAUGAGACUGCAGAUUUUCAGCAUGGAUGUGAAAAGCAUUAAAAUUAUAACUUUGUGUACAAGAUGAAAAUAAUUCACUAAAUUUGCCUUUUUUACACAAAAUAAAAAUGAUAAAAA